AGAAGUACUUUUAUACCAGAACACCAGAGGUAGAACCUCCUAGGAGUACUUUUGUAAGAGAAUAGUAGAGGUAGGACCUCUUAGGAGUACUUUUAUACCAGGACAGAAGAGGUAGGACCUCAUAGGAGUACUUUUAUACCACGACAGCAGAGAUCAACAGUUAUAAACAUGUUUCGUGUUCCACUUAAUAUUCUCACAGUUGCAGCACUGAUGCUGGUCAAAUCAGGUUUGGUUCAAGAUGUAAGAUGGAUUUAUCUUCUCACAUCCCUCCUUCUCUCCCUGGCAGCUCUGAUAUCGUUUAAACUUUACAGUACACCCCAGAUCAUCCGCUGAUAAAAAUAAACCAGCCCGGAGAAUAUGAGAACUUAGUGUACCAGUCACUCAUCAUAAUUUAGUUUUAUCUCAGUACUUUUUAAAUACCAAACAGUAUGCAAUGUGUGAUAAAAAACAAAUUUUAAAUUCACAUCUUUAAAUUUCUGCAUUUUUUCAACUGUACUUUUGUAUAAAAUUUCUGUUUUUUCAA